rnacentral:sRNA from 1 species
AAUUAGCCCUGAUGGCAGCGGCAUCCUUUUUUAAUGUUGUCUUCGAGAACCUCAGACAACAUUAAAAAAAAUAUAGCGAACAGCAGGAAUGGCU